GCGUGAGUGAUGAAGGCCUUAGGGUUGUAAAGCUCUUUCGCCCACGACGAUAAUGACGGUAGUGGGAGAAGAAGCCUCGGCUAACUCCGUGCCAGCAGCCGCGGUAAGACGGAGGAGGCUAGCGUUGUUCGGAAUUACUGGGCGUAAAGCGCACGUAGGCGGUUGCGUAAGUCGGGGGUGAAAGCCCGGGGCUUAACCUCGGAAAUGCCUUCGAGACUGCGCAGCUUGAGACUGGAAGAGGAGAGCGGAAUUCCCAGUGUAGAGGUGAAAUUCGU
rnacentral:rRNA from 1 species